AGCGAACGCUGGCGGCAGGCUUAACACAUGCAAGUCGAGCGGGCCCUUCGGGGUCAGCGGCAGACGGGUGAGUAACGCGUGGGAACGUGCCCUUCGGUUCGGAAUAACUCAGGGAAACUUGAGCUAAUACCGGAUACGCCCUUAUGGGGAAUGGUUUACUGCCGAAGGAUCGGCCCGCGUCUGAUUAGUUAGUUGGUGAGGUUAUGGCUCACCAAGGCGACGAUCAGUAGCUGGUCUGAGAGGAUGAUCAGCCACACUGGGACUGAGACACGGCCCAGACUCCUACGGGAGGCAGCAGUGGGGAAUAUUGGACAAUGGGGGCAACCCUGAUCCAGCCAUGCCGCGUGAGUGAUGACGGCCUUAGGGUUGUAAAGCUCUUUUCUCCGGGACGAUAAUGACGGUACCGGAGGAAUAAGCCCCGGCUAACUUCGUG
rnacentral:rRNA from 1 species